CGAAAAUCACAUUGUUCUAGCUUUUCCUCCUUAAGUUUUGCAAUGGCCAUCAGUUGAAUUGCAUUGGAAAGUCCAAAACAGACACUGAUUCAAAGGUCAGCAAUGACUCUUCCCCAGUGCUCUGGAAAACCUCAGAAGCAAGUGGUGUCCAGCCUGUGUGCUACUAGGAAGGCCAUGAGCAACUCUCCUCUGCCCAGGCCUUUCCACCAUGCUGCGUCUUCCCUGGAGCAGCGGACUAUGCCUGAAACCUCUACAAACUGUGAGCCAAAAUAAACCUCUUCUCCUUAAGUCGCAGGCAUCAGGCCUCAAGGCCAAGUCCAGCCUUAGUUGAUGGCCGCUGUGACUGACCUCGGGCCACCACCUCGUGAGAGACACCAAGCCAGAGCUGACCAACCAAGUCCCUUCCAAAUCCAUGGUGUACGGAAGUGGUGUGAGGAACUGCAUGGUCACUGCAUCAUCAUCACCACAGACUACCACGGGCCAGUGUCCCCAGUGGCCAUUCUGAUCUUGCCGUCUGUACAGCGACAACCUCUGUGUGGAAGUGCUGCUCUCUGGACUUUGUCAUUAUGGAUUUCGGUCAUGUUGUUAAUCCUGGGGAUUCCAACUGCACAACAGUGCUUCCUCCAUCACCCCUGAGCCUCUCCAUGCUUCUGGUGGCCCUCACCAGCAUUCCUUAUCAUGUUAGUGAAUGGAGCACCAUCUGAGCUCUCUUGGUCUUACUGAGUAAAUUCACUCUAGCUGUUACGACUCUGGGACACUGUCUCUUUCCUCACACUCCGACAAAGCAGUUCCAGCACCUGCACCUGUCGACUGUAGGCUGCCAUAGUUUCUGAGUUUCAAGAAACCAUUCUGGCAGUGCAUGGGGCCAGGUUCAGGGACCCUGGCCAGGUUGUUAAUUCCUGAGCCACAGAAGCAUGGCACUUCAUCUACAAACUCCCCUGCCCAGACUUAUCUCCCUUUCUCACUGCUCCCCACAACUUCUAUU